rnacentral:rRNA from 1 species
ACGAACGCUGGCGGCGUGCCUAAUACCUGCAAGUCGAACGAGAGCGACCGGUGCUUGCACUGGUCAAUCUAGUGGCGAACGGGUGAGUAACACGUGGGUAACCUGCCCAUCAGAGGGGGAUAACAUCCGGAAACGGAUGCUAAAACCGCAUAGGUCUUCGAACCGCAUGGUUUGAAGAGGAAAAGAGGCGCAAGCUUCUGCUGAUGGAUGGACCCGCGGUGCAUUAGCUAGUUGGUGAGGUAACGGCUCACCAAGGCCGUGAUGCAUAGCCGACCUGAGAGGGUGAUCGGCCACAUUGGGACUGAGACACGGCCCAAACUCCUACGGGAGGCAGCAGUAGGGAAUCUUCCGCAAUGGACGCAAGUCUGACGGAGCAACGCCGCGUGAGUGAAGAAGGUUUUCGGAUCGUAAAACUCUGUUGUUAGAGAAGAACAAGUGCUAGAGUAACUGUUAGCGCCUUGACGGUAUCUAACCAGAAAGCCACGGCUAACUACGUG